rnacentral:rRNA from 1 species
UACAGAGGUCCCGAGGCGUUGUUCGGAUUCACUGGGCGUAAAGGGUGCGCAGGCGGCCAAGUGUGUUAGGCGUGAAAGCCUGAGGCUUAACCUCAGAAUUGCACCUAAAACUACAUGGCUAGAGCAUUGGAGAGGGUAGCGGAAUUCACGGUGUAGCAGUGAAAUGCGUAGAUAUCGUGAGGAACACCAGAGGCGAAGGCGGCUACCUGGACAAUCGCUGACGCUCAGGCACGAAAGCGUGGGGAGCAAAAGGG